GGUGCAUAGCAGCUCUUAUUUUACAUACUACUACUCAUACUGAUCAAAGUCACUCAGUUGGGAUGGGUGGGAGUAGGAGGUUUGUGGGGUGGCUUGUGCGGAGGAGUUGGCAGCUUCUUUCCAGGACCUGGUUGCUUCUCUGCUGGAGUUGAAGGAGGCUUAAUCUUCCGAGGUGGCUUGUAUGAGUCUUCAGCAUUCUCAGCUGGAGGGUGACCAGGGUUGUGACCAUAAUGUGGUGGCUUCUCUCCCUUAGGUGGUUUGCCAACUGGGGUUGGUGGCUUGUAUGAGUCUUCAGCAUUCUCAGCAGGAGGGUGACCAGGGUUGUGACCAUAAUGUGGUGGCUUCUCUCCCUUAGGUGGUUUGCCAACUGGGGUUGGUGGCUUGUGUUCUGGGAGUGGCUUCUCCCCCUUGGGAGGUUUUUCCAAUGGGGUUGGUUUGUGUUCAGGAGGUGGCUUCUCCACUGGAGGCUUGUGUUCAGGAGGUGGCUUCUCCACCGGAGGCUUGUGUUCAGGUGGUGGCUUCUCCACCGGAGGCUUAUGCUCUGGUGGUGGCUUCUCGAAUGGGGGAUGCUUAGGAUAAUCAGCAAGUGAGGGGGCGGUGAGAACCACCAGGCCAAGCAACACCACUAGCAAAUAUGUAGGAGACAUCUUUGGGUUUGGGCUCAGAUGGUGCAAAACUAGGAGAAUUGGCUAGCCUUUUAUAGCGGAUCGUACCCAAUAAUGAAAUGACACGUGUCAUUAUGACCCAUGUGUAAUGGGGUCGAUUUGGGUCCUACAGUGUUGAAAACUUCGACAUCCACUUUUGGCCUUUUGCUUUCUCUACAGCCGCCUUGCUUUUUCCCUCUUUCCUUUUGUUUUCCUCCUGCCCCAUUCUAUCAACUAAACACAAUUAUGUAGUUGUUUAAUUCUUAAAUGAGAUAUUAUCCGUCAAUCGUAUUAUAUUUUAUCAAGAGAGAACGGAGUGCAAUGUGGCUGUAAUUUUAUCGUUUAGUUUUAUCUCUUGGACCACUGCAUUUUUGUUAAGAGGUGCAAUAAUACACGUCUUUAUCUGCCAUUCAAUAUUUACAGUAAAGAGAGGGCACAAAACUCUUCACUUCGCACCAUAAUUAUUUUGUUUUCUGGACACCCCGGGGCCCUUUGGUUGGUUUGGGGGUCAGAAAGUGAACAUCAUAGGGGGUUUUUCCCUUAUGUGCAUUUGUAUCUGAUGGCUUUAACUCGCCUUGUUACUACAAAGAAACUGUCACAGAUAGGAACUUAUUCCAGGCUGAGUAUCUCCUCAUAGACCCUAUAAAAGAAGACAAGUCAUAAUGAACAUCUAACCUUUGUUCAAUUUGAUUCAAUGCCCCCAUUGUGUCCAUCUCACAAAUCUGAAUUAUUAUAUCCAUUGAAUACAUAAAUUAAUGAAGAAAAUAUGAAACCCAAGAUACAUCUCUGCACAACCUCAACCCUGGUUGCUAUGUUUCCCUUCUAUUCACAUGAUUUGAUGCUAAUUGCCAAACUUGCAACAAGCCCUGAGUUUGACACCUAGUAUCGAUGGGCGAAUUUAAAGUCUCCUCCAAACAUAUAUUCCACAGCUUGAAGCUCACAGAAGAUGUUACAGGCAGGGAAAAACCUUCAGAGUUCGCUACCAAAGAUAAUUAUUAAGGAGAUAUCACAAAGAGAAUUCCAAGGGGUCUGAAUCAAAGACAAAUUGGUCGUUCGUGGGGGUUCUUACUUUCUUUUGGGUAUAACUCACUGAGGGCACUGUCUUUGUUAUUUGCAUUUCACAUUUAGAGUUCUGUUCUGGAAACAUAUAAAAGGAGCAUCAUUUUGUUCUUGGGUAACCCAUAGUCGUGAGUGGGUCCAUUUGCAUGCUACUUAGUUGAAAAGUUGGACCAUUUGCUCCGACGCCUACCUCCCGGAUUCCAUGCUCGGAUAAAACAAGAAUAAAAAAAAUAUUUAUAAUUUACAAAUGGGGGAAAGAAAAAAAUGUCAACAACAAACCAGGAAAAAAGAGUAGUAAAAUUCAUGUCACAUGCUAGUGAGAGAAGGGGUUGUUACACUCACUCGAAGUUCUUUCCAAAAUAUCGCAUGGUAUUUUAUUUUAUGUGUCAGCGCAGUUGUGAAUGGAACGUGCAAAAGUCCAAAUUGGCGUUUUUCCUUUUCCCGUGUAGGAUGGCGACCUUUAAUAAAUAUUUAAAACAAAAAACGAAAAAAAGGAGGGAAAAGGGAUCAGAAAAGAUAAAACAAUGUGUACAAGAGCUCAAUUAGUUUGCAAAUUACUGUUUGGAUUUUGAUAGUAUUUUAUUUGUCCAUCUAUAUUUGAUGGAAAAGAGAAUUUAAGAUAUUUCUGAAACAAAAGCAUUAGUGUAAAACUAAAUUAAGGUAUAAUUAAGUUAGUUCAAUGCAUUAAUUUAAGAAACUUGAUCUAUCCAAAGUACAAAAUUAGAUGAAAUCCAUUUCAAUGGUUAAAAUGAUCAAAAUCAAACUUUUUCUAAGUAUUUUUUAAAAGCAUCAAUAUUAAAAGACAAUUUUAUAUUUAGUCGGAGUUUGGACAAAACCAAAAAGCACACAAAAUCCAAGCGACCAUCUCUAGCUUGGAUAGUCACUUGAUCCCACCUAGAGAUGUGCAUGAGUAAAAGGAUUUGAAAAUGGAAAUUGACUAAAUAUUUAGUUGAUCAAUUAAAUUUGCAAUGUCAUAUGCAAUCCUAAUAGCUAGUCAUCUAAUCAAUUAGGUAGUCAAUCAAGUGUUUGUAAUGACUAUUUUGUACAAAAAACCACAUGUAUAGUUAAAUAUAAUGCAUUUCAUUUAUAAAUCUUCUAAUUCUUGAAUAACGAUCCUAUCAUCCUUUGAAAAUUUUUAUUACACCUUUUUUACUUUUGUUCUAAAACUUACAUAUCACCCUUAAUUGUACCAUGAGAACCUAGCUAUUUUUUUUUUUUUUGUAAUUCAUCAAAGUUAGCUUUUGUAUUCAUUGUUGUAUUAUUUUUAGUAUAACUUAGAAAGCUAGUGUUUUCAAGUGAGUAAAAUUAACUUGUAAAUAUUGUAAAGAUUCAUUGAUAUGUAUCUUAAACUAAGUGUACAAAUUAAAACAUUUGCUAGUAGAUUUUCUCAAAAUUUAGAAUAGAGCUUGAGGCUAUUGAAAUAGGUGGGGUUACACCAAACCACAUCACAUCGUUGUUUGCACCUUUUUUCACUCUCUUUUACUUAGUUUCUCUAUAUUUGUUGUCUAGUAAUAUCCUAUAGGCUUGAUGGGUUAGGGAGCAUCCCUUUGUGAAAAAAUUUCAUUCAAUUCUUAGUUGUAUUACGCAUAUAUAAAAUGCCUCAUUGUUUUAAUGGUAUUCAGUCGUGGCAUCACAGAUAUGGGCAUCUAAAUUUUAAAAGUUUGAAACUUUUGUAAAGCAUGUUGAUAAAAUCCAUGAGAGUUGUGUACUUGGGAAGCAACAUCGAGGUGACUUUAUUUUUUUUUCCUUUUAUAAUGCCACACCUAAGUCCGGUUUCUAAAUGCUAAAGUGAAAGGGUAGGUAUGGACCAUUGAAAUGUGAUCACAACUUUUGGCCUUUUCCUUUCUCUGCAGCCAUGUUGUCUCUUUUUUCUUUUGCAUGAUUUUCUUACCAAAACAGAAUCAUAGACUUGUUUAGUCUCUAAGCUACUAUAUUAUAUCUCGGUGGACUUUUAAGAGUGCAACCGACAUAGAGCACAUGCAAGUGGGCAUAUGGGACAUGAAAUUUCUUCUUACAAAGAUUGCAUGAUUUUUAUAUUAGAGUUGUUCACGUGCAAUGUAUUUAGCUUGUUUUGCAGUUAAAUUAAUUGGAUAAGUAAACAUUGGCAUUUCUAAAUCGACUGUGAAGUGCUUCAUGUACGUGUAAAGUAUUAGAAAUUUCUUUCUUGGCAACUUGUUUUUUCCUUGCCAUCUACUGGUAGGUUUGACUAAAAUUAUAUUCCCUGUCAUGCUAAUUAAUUUUCAUGUGCAUGCUCAAAAGAAGAGUAUGACCUUAGUGCACCAAAAUCACUUUGAUUAAUUUGUGAUAGGUUUUUUUGCAUCAUUUAGAUAAUGUUUAGUUCUAAGAAAAAUUUAUAUAAAAAUGGUUUAUUUAUCUUACAUAUAUAUAUAUAUAUAUAUAUUUUUUUUUUUUUCAUUUUUUUUUCUUCUAUUUUAUUUAUUUAUUUUAUUUUCCUUAUGUUUUCCUCACAUUUUCCGGAACUAAACAUAGUCUUACGAAAUCAACAAUUGCCUUCAACUGAGUAGAUUCUGUUGUUUUAGCAAUGUUAGGCUGCUAACUUGUGGUGGUACGAACCAAAUGACCCAUGUUAAUCUUGGCUUGGUUUGAUUUGGCUCUAUCUCAGAGAGCUAAAGGAUCACGUCAACUCUGGUUUCUACUAUUCAGGUCCAUUCCCAGAUGAACUGGUUCAAAUUUGAGAAAAUGGUAACAGACCUUUAGUGAUGUUGGUUUGGAGCCAGUUGCCAAACCCGCCCUGAGCUUUACCACUAAUGUCAAGGGAGAAAGCCAUUUGAACAAAAACAAUAGCUUCAAGAGACUGAAUCGUGGAUGAAAUCUGAUCCACAUUUCUUCUCAUUUUGGGAAAAAAUGAGAACUUAACUACAAAGAUUCUACUGCCUCAUUCAUAGUGCUUUUCCUGAUCCAAGGUUGGUUCGUUUCCCAAAUUGUGAGGUGCACGUGCCACUCUCACGCUCAGGAGUGUAUCCACGUGGUGGACAUCAGAUGGUGGCUUAAUAUCUGGUGUCGGUGGCUUUACUUUACUAGGAGAGUAGUGUGUCUUCAUCUCAUUCACUGCCGGAGGGUGGCGUAAGCAGUGACGCUAAGGUGGGGCACAGUCAAUAUCAUUUGCAUUUGACCAUUAUAGUUUUCUCCCGGCUUGAAAGUAACCUUAUCGUGAUAAAGGAUUACUAGCACUAGUUCAGAUGACCGUCAUGUUAAUUCGGACCAUGUUUGUGUCACAUUAUCAGCAACCAUGUGUUUAUGGUUCAUGCUAUCUGCAACUAAACUUGAUAUAUAACCAGGUGAACUUCAAUCAAAAUUCUGGAAGUACUCUUGUGAUAGAUGGUGCCUGUCUGCAGAGUCCAUCAAUUGAAAAAUGGAGUGAGUGUAUCUAUAAGAGGGAAGGCUUGGCAAAUGUUCAGUUUUCUGGGAAUUCAACAAGGAUCUAAAAUAGAUUGUUUUCUUUGCCGACUUCAAUGGUUGAAAUUUGAGAAGAUUGUGUCCACAUAUCACAACUAUUACUGGUCCUUCUGUUGCAAUUUAUCCUGUAAGGCUCUAACAUGUCUUCCAAUUCCCACUUCCCUGUUACUCCAGGAAAGCUAUUUCUGUCAUUGUGAAGAAGAAAAGAGAAUGUACAUAUCGAUGCUUUUAAGUGACUGGAGCAUUCAUAUCAGGUGGUCUGCAGCCAUAUAUGCCACUUUGUGAAGGUUGGAACAGUCAAUCACUAGGCUAUAUAUUGGUGUGGCCCAGCCACUUCAAUCAAGGACAAGUCUUCAUACUUAAAGUCAAAUUCUGCCUUUAGUCUCAUUAUAAAUUGCUGUUUAAAUAUUAAGCAAACUUUUGUUUAAUGCGAUUAAGACAGUACUAACUCAAUACUUGUUCUAUUUUUGGAUGCAAAUGCUUGAUGGUUUCAUCAUUGGAUGGGAUAAAGGUGCAUUCAUGAUUAUGAAUACUUGUAGUUAUAUUUUCAUUCUCUUUUUUCUCAAUGAGACUUGUUGGCACAAUGUUGCUGUUCAGAAACCUACCUCUCCAUGGAAAAUAAGUUGCGAUUGAUAGUACUGGAUAUGUUCAAGAAAGCUAAAUAUAGAUAGCACAAAAUAUUAUCGAUAUAAAUAGCAUUAACAGCGUACGUAUGUCUCAAUGCUCAUCAGCUAUAAGCAUGGGACAAACACUUACUAUGAGCAACUUACGUCAAAAUUCCAGAAUAGGACAUAGAAGUGACAGAUCUAUAUAUAUAGAACACUGCAUAUGAGUCACAAGAAAGGAAAUUACGGGUGCAUAGCAGCUCUUAUUUUACAUACUACUACUCAUACUGAUCAAAGUCACUCAGUUGGGAUGGGUGGGAGUAGGAGGUUUGUGGGGUGGCUUGUGCGGAGGAGUUGGCAGCUUCUUUCCAGGACCUGGUUGCUUCUCUGCUGGAGUUGAAGGAGGCUUAAUCUUCCGAGGUGGCUUGUAUGAGUCUUCAGCAUUCUCAGCUGGAGGGUGACCAGGGUUGUGACCAUAAUGUGGUGGCUUCUCUCCCUUAGGUGGUUUGCCAACUGGGGUUGGUGGCUUGUAUGAGUCUUCAGCAUUCUCAGCAGGAGGGUGACCAGGGUUGUGACCAUAAUGUGGUGGCUUCUCUCCCUUAGGUGGUUUGCCAACUGGGGUUGGUGGCUUGUGUUCUGGGAGUGGCUUCUCCCCCUUGGGAGGUUUUUCCAAUGGGGUUGGUUUGUGUUCAGGAGGUGGCUUCUCCACUGGAGGCUUGUGUUCAGGAGGUGGCUUCUCCACCGGUGGCUUGUGUUCAGGAGGUGGCUUCUCCACCGGAGGCUUAUGCUCUGGUGGUGGCUUCUCCACCGGAGGCUUAUGCUCUGGUGGUGGCUUCUUGAAUGGGGGAUGCUGAGGGUAAUCAGCAAGUGAGGGGGCGGUGAGAACCACCAGGCCAAGCAACACCACUAGCAAAUAUGUAGGAGACAUCUUUGGGUUUGGGCUCAGAUGGUGCAAAACUAGGAGAAUUGGCUAGCCUUUUAUAGCGGAUCGUACUCAAUAAUGAAAUGACACGUGUCAUUAUGACCCAUGUGUAAUGGGGUCGAUUUGGGUCCUACAGUGUUGAAAACUUCGACAUCCAGUUUUGGCCUUUUGCUUUCUCUACAGCCGCCUUGCUUUUUCCCUCUUUCCUUUUGUUUUCCUCCUGCCCCAUUCUAUCAACUAAACACAAUUAUGUAGUUGUUUAAUUCUUAAAUGAGAUAUUAUCGGUCAAUCGUAUUAUAUUUUAUCAAGAGAGAACGGAGUGCAAUGCAGCUGUAAUUUUAUCGUUUACUUUUAUCUCUUGGACCACUGCAUUUUUGUUAAGAGGUGCAAUAAUACACGUCUUUAUCUGCCAUUCAAUGUUUACAGUAAAGAGAGGGCACAAAACUCUUCACUGCUCUGCAUGUGUCCCAAAAAUGCGAUUGGACAAAUUAUGAUUUGCAUGCUAAAAAGAGGCAAAUGAGGUUAAUUCGCACCAUAAUUAUUUGGUUUUCUGGACACCAUAAAAAGAUGUUAUACAGGCAGGGAAAAACCUUCAGAGUUAGCUACCAAAGAUAAUUAUCAAGCAGAUAUCACCAAGAGAAUUCCAUAGAGUCUGAAUCAAAGACAGAUUGCUCGCUCGUGGGGGUUCUUACUUUCUUUUGGGUAUAACUCACUGAGGUCACUGUCUUUUUUAUUUGCAUUUCACAGUUAGAGUUCUGCUCUGGAAGGUUUGUUCUGGAAACAUAUAAAAGGAGCAUCAUUUUGUUCUUGGGUAACCCAUAGUCGUGAGUGGGUCCAUUUGCAUGCUACUUAGUUGAAAAGUUGGACAAUUUGCUCCGACGCCUACCUCCUGGAUUCCAUGCUCGGUAAAACAAGAAUAAAAAAAAAUAUAUAAUUUACAAAUGGGGGAAAGAAAAAAUGUCGGAAAAAAUAGUAAAAUUCAUGUCACAUGCUAGUGAGAGAAGGGGUUGUUACACUCACUCGAAGUUCUUUUCAAAAUAUCGAAUGGUAUUUUACUUUAUGUGUCAGCGCAGUUGUGAAUGGAACGUGCAAAAGUCCAAAUUGGCGUUUUUAUUUUUCCCAUGUAGGAUGGUGACCUUUAAUAAAUAUUUAAAACAAAAGACGAAAAAAAAAAGGAGGGAAAAGGGAUCACAAAAGAUAAAAUAAUGUUUACAAAAGCUCAAUUAGUUUGCAAAUUACUGUUUGGAUUUUGAUAGUAUUUUAUUUGUCGUUCUAUAUUUGAUGUAAAAGAGAAUUUAAGAUAUUUCCGAAGCAAAAGCAUUAGUUUGCUCUGUGAUGUCCCACAUCGAAUAGGGGAGAAAGUUUCUGGCGCUAUAUAUGUAGAGGCUCCUCUUAACCAAGUAGAUGCGUUUUAAAACCAUGAGGGCCCCCUUAGGUCCAAAGCGGACAAUAUCUACAUGAUUGGGUGUAAGUCAUUACAAAUGGUAUCAGAGCCGAUCCCCGACCCCGGUGUGGGGGUUUGUUUGGCCCUGUAAGGGGUGUUUGUCUGUUUGACCCCACAAUCCCAUGGGACACAACGAGGACGUUGUGUCUGCAUGGGGGGGCGUUUGUGAUGUCCCACAUCGGAUAGGGGAGAAAGUUCCUAGUGCUAUAUAUGUAGAUGUUUCUCUUAACCAAGUAGAUGCAUUUUAAAAUUGUGAGGGCCUCUUUGGGCCCAAAGCGGACAAUAUCUACAUGGUUGAGUGUAAGUCAUUACAUGCUCCAUGUCAAUUUCAGCAUUUCUCAUAUGUUUCACACAUACACAGAAGAGCAUCGUUUUUUAAAGCAUGCAUUUAUGUUGGAUUAAUUUGGAUUUUGUGGGAACUGGGGCAAGGAUCACAUGGAAGAGAGGUUGACUUUUUUCAGUACUUCAAUGGUUGAAAUAUGUGAAGGCUUGAUUGAUACUAAAGCUUGAAAUUGCGACUCUGUCAUUUGUAAAAAAAUAUGACAGCUUCCAUGCUCUCGUUUGGUUGCAUUGUCCGGUCGAGAGGUGCAAAAAGCAUUCUCUCUCUUCUAAUAGUCUUUUCGUUUAAAUCAAGGGAUUUGCCUUCCCGGUCGAGGUCCAAUAGAGGGUAACGGUCACCUACUAAACAUUAAAUGCUCCAACAACUAGUGAACUGAUCGACCCCAGCUCGACUAGUUGAGGUUACUUUUUGGUUUUCUUGUCUCCCGAGGUUAGAAACCUAUAAAUAGAGAGCUUCACUUCAUUUAUGAGUAAGAGAACACCUAAAUUUAUUUGUUUACCUACUUGUUUUUGCCAUAAAAGCUCUCAUUUCUUUUCUUGGUGUAUUAAAUCUCCAUUUGCAUAUCCUUUAGUGCACCUUUGUGAUUCAUUCUAGCCUUGAGUUGUAUUUAAGCCUUUGUUGAGCUAGGUUGAGAGUUUCAUACUUGUUUAUUGAGUGUUAAAGCCUUCAAGUGAGUUAAAACUUGAAGAGAUUGUGUAAGAGCCCAUUGGAGUCGGAAUCCAAGUGUAAAGGUGAUUAAAAGCUUGGUUGAAGCUUCAAGUUAGUGGAACUCUCACUCGGUUAUGAGCUUGAGAAGAGUGGACAUAGACAAGGCAGUGUCGAACCACUAUAAAAUCUGAGUUUGAUUUCUCUAACCUUAUCUCUUUAUAUUUGCUUCUCUUGUGCUUAAAUUUUUUGUGUUUAAAAAGAAUUUUUAAAAACUCAAUUCACCCCCUUCUUGGGAGUUUUUCUCUUUUAAGAUCAGCUUUUAUUUUCUCAAUUGGUAUCAGAACUAUGCCUCUUGUUUAAGACUUAAUCGUCUAAGAGGAAAUGGCUAAUCCAUCAAGUUCAUCUCACAUUGAAAGUUUUGCAACCAAUAGACUUCUUUUUUUUUUUUUGCGGGAACUGAUUAUCCCUAUUGGAAAACUAAAAUGACUUGGUUUUUACAAUCAAUUGAUUUAGAUGUAUGAGAUGCCAUUGAAGAUGACCUAACUUUUCCUUCAAAACUAGUUGAUGGAGUCAUGGUUCCAAAACCUAAGCAAGAAUGGGAUGAGCGUGAUUGAAGAAAUUUUCAAUUAAAUGCUAAAGUCGUUUAUACUUUGCAAUGCUCUAUGGACAGAAAUGAAUAUAAUAGAAUAUGUCAAUGCAAAUCGGUUAAAGAAAUUUGGAGAUUGCUUGAAAUAACUCAUAAAGGAACAAAUCAAGUUAAAGAGUCAAAAAUCAAUUUACUUGUUCAUAGAUAUGAAUUGUUUUUUAUGAAAGAUAAUGAAACUAUUGUUAAGAUGAUCACUAGGUUCACCAACAUUGUUAAUGGUCUUAAAGCCUUGGGAAAGACCUACAAGGAAUCCGAAAACGUGAUGAAGAUCUUGAGGUCACUUCCAUCAAAGUGGCAUACCAAGGUCACCGCAAUUUAAGAAGCAAAAGACUUGAUCAAGCUACCUUUGGAGGAGUUCAUAGGGUCAUUGAUGACAUAUGAAAUCAAUUUGGCAAAGAAGUAACAAAAAGGUGAAGACAAAAAGAAGAAGAACAUAACUCUCAAAGCUACAACUAAGGAAGAAGAAGUUGAAGAAGAAAAACAAAUUGAAGAAGAUGAAGAUUUAGCCCUCAUCACAAGAAAGUUCAACAAAUUCAUGAGGGGUGAAAGGUUUAGAAGAAGAAGGUUCACUUCUAGAAGAGACUUUUCUAAAAAGGAAUCUUCAUCUAAUGGUGACAAAAAGAGAUGGGAAGAGAAAAGAGACUUGGUGUGUUUCAAGUGCAAGAAACCGGGACACAUUAAAUAUGAUUGUCCUCUCUACAAAAGUGAAGUCAAGAGGAAAAAGAAUAAGGCAAUGAUGGCCACUUAGAGUGAAAGUGAAGAUGAAUCAUCCGAAGAAGAAAAUGAGAAAGAAGUGGCAAACAUGUGUUUCAUGGCAAUAGAUGAACUUGAUGAGGUAAAAUCUAACCUUAGUGAUUAAGAUAUACAUGAUGCAUUUGAAGAAUUGUAUGAGGAUUUUUAAAAACUUAGUUUGAAAAAUAUUUCUCUUAAAAAGAAAGUUCAACAACUUGACAAAGAACUUAGAGAAGUAAAAGAAAAAUUUUCAAAUGUUAAAGUUUCUAAAACUCAUCUUGAAAAAGAAAAUGAGAUUCUAAGAAAGAAAAAUGAAUAGUUGAACUCCUCUCUUUCAAUCUUUUCUUCUAGACAAAAAUCUUUUGAAAUGAUUCUAACUAGCUAAAAAUGUGUUUUUGACAAACAAGGGUUAAGAUUUAAAUCUUCAAAAAAUCAAAAGUAUUUUAAAAACUAUUUUGUAAAGGAAUCCACAAGUGCAAGUCCUUCCACUACUUGCAACUUUUGUGGAAGAGAAUGGCACAUUAGUAGUACGCCCUUUAAGAAAUGGUUCUCAAAAGAAUUUAAAUGCAAAAACUAAAAAAGAUUUGGAUUGAGAAAUCCAAGGUCACUAACCCUCAAGGACCCAAAAAGAUAUAGGUACCUAAAUCAACUUGAGUUUUAUGUUGUAAGGUUCAAAGAAUGAUAAGUGGUUCUUAGAUAAUGGUUGCUCAAGACACAUGACCGGAGAUGAAUCCAAGUUUGCUUUUCUUAAAAAGAAAAAUGGAGGAUAUGUUACCUUUGGAGACAAUGCAAAAGAAAGGAUGAUUGGUCAAGGCAACAUUGGUAAUGGCACAUCCUCUCUCAUUGAAAGUGUUUUAUUAGUAGAUGGUUUCAAACAUAACCUUUUAAGCAUUAGUCAAUUUUGCGACAAAGGUUUUUAAGUGAUUUUUUAAGCAUCUCAUUGCAUCAUCAAGGAUAUUCAAAAUGAUAAAACCAUUUUCAUGGGCCAUAGAUGUGAUAAUGUUUAUGCUAUAAAUAUUUCAAAAUAUGAUGGCCAUGAUAGAUGUUUUUCAAGCAUGCAUGAUCAAAGUUGGUUGUGCCAUAGGAGAUUGAGACAUGCUAACAUAGACCUCAUUUCCCAACUCAACAAAGAUGAACUUGUUAGAGGCCUUCCCAAAAUAAUUUUUUAAAAAGAUAAAGUUUGUGAAGCUUGUCAAGUGGGAAAGUAAAUCAAAAACUCUUUUAAAAACAAAAACUUCAUUUCCACAUCUAGGCCACUUGAGUUGUUGCAUAUGGAUUUAUUUGGUCCCUCUAGGACACCAAGUCUUAGAGGAAAUUCUUAUGCAUAUGCUAUUGUGGACGACUUCUCUAGAUACACAUGAGUCUUGUUUUUUAGUCAAAAGAAUAAAGUUUUUUAUGAGUUUUCAAAGUUUUGCAAUAAGAUUCAAAAUGAAAAAGGUUUUUCAAUUACUUAUAUAAGAAGUGAUCAUGGGAGAGAAUUCGAAAAUAUUGAUUUUGAAGAGUAUUGCAAUGAGCAUGGAAUUGACCACAAUUUUUUGGCUCUUAGAACUCCUCAACAAAAUGGGGUAGUUGAAAGGAAAAAUAGAACUCUUCAAAAAAUGACAAGAACCAUACUAAAUGAAAACAACUUACCAAAAUAUUUUUAGGCCAAAACGGUUAACACUUCUUGUUAUGUUUUAAAUAGAGUAUUAUUGAGGCUCAUACUUAAGAAAACUCCCUAUGAGCUUUGGAAAAACAAAAAACCCAACAUUAGUUAUUCCAAAGUCUUUGGAUGCAAUAUUUUAUAAUAAACACCAAAGACAAUCUUGGAAAAUUUGAUGCAAAAUUGGAUGUUGGAAUUUUCCUUGGUUACUCAACUUCAAGUAAAGCUUUUCGAGUUUUAACAAAAGAACCAUGGUUGUAGAGGAGUCCAUCCAUGUUAUUUUUUAUGAAUCUCCAAGAAAGAGAGAGGAUUGAUGAUGAUUUAGGUUUGAAGACCUCUAUAGGAAGAUUGCAAAUCGAAGAUAGAAGACAACAAGAAGAAAAUGGAGAGAAUCCAAAGAAAGAAGGAUCACCAUUGGCACUACCCCCUCAUCAACAAGCGCAAGGUGAAUCAAGUCAAGAGCUUCCUAAAGAAUGGAAGUUUGUCAUCAAUCACCCACAAGAUCAAAUUAUAGGCAAUCCAUCUAGUGGGGUAAGAACUAGAUCCUCUCUUAGAAAUAUUUGCAAUAAUCUAGCUUUUAUCUCUCAAAUUGAGCCUAAAAAUAUAAAUGAUGUUUUAGAUGAUGAAAAUUGGAUAAUUGCAAUGCAAGAAGAGUUAAAUCCAUUUGAAAGAAGUGGAGUAUGGGAAUUAGUACCAAGACCUUCAAAUCAAAGUGUUAUUGGAACUAGAUGGAUCUUUAGAAAUAAAAUGGAUGAAAAUAGCAUAAUUGUUAGAAAUAAAGCAAGAUUGGUAGCCCAAGGUUUUAAUCAAGAAGAAAUGAUAGAUUAUGAAGAAACCUUUGCCCCCGUAGCUAGGUUGGAAGCCAUUAGGAUGCUACUUGCCUUUGCAUGUUUUAAAGACUUUGUUUUAUAUCAAAUGGAUGUGAAAAGUGCUUUUUUAAAUGGUUUUAUAAAUGAAGAAGUAUAUGUUGAACAACCACCCGGUUUUCAAAGUUUCAACUUUCCUAACCAUGUUUUUAAACUUAAAAAGACACUUUAUGGUUUGAAACAAGCACCUAGAUCAUGGUAUGAAAAAUUGAGUAAAUUUCUUUUGAAAAAAAUGUUUUAAAAUGGGAAAAAUUGACACAACUCUUUUUAUAAAAACCAAAGAAAAUGAUAUGCUCUUAGUUCAAAUAUAUAUUGAUGAUAUCAUUUUUGGUGCUACUAAUGUCUCUCUUUAUGAAGAAUUUUCUAAGUGCAUGCAUAGUGAGUUUGAAAUGAGCAUGAUAGGAGAACUCAACUUCUUCCUUGGACUUCAAAUCAAGCAACUAAAGGAAUGAACCUUCAUCAAUCAAGCAAAGUAUAUAAGAGAUCUUCUCAAAAGGUUCAACAUGGAAGAAGCCAAAACAAUGAAGACUCUAAUGAGCUCAUCCAUUAAGCUUGAUAAGGAUGAGAAAGGUAAAUCCAUUGACUCUAUUAUGUAUAGAGGCAUGAUAGGUUCUUUGCUCUAUUUGACCACUAGUAGACCUUACAUUAUGUAUAGUGUGUGUUUGUGUACUAGAUUUCAAUCUUGUCUUAAAAAAUCUCACUUAAGUGUCGUGAAAAGAAUCCUCAAAUAUUUGAAAGGGACAAUGGACAUAGGCUUAUGGUAUCCUAAGAGUGAUAACUUUGAAUUAAUUGGUUUUUUGGAUGCUGAUUUUGUCAGUUGUAGGGUUGAAAAAUAAAACACUAGUGGCACUUUUCAUUUCUUAAGACACUUACUUGUCUCAUGGCAUAAUAAGAAGCAAAAUUUGGUAGCUUUGUCAACAGCAGAAGCUAAAUACAUAGCAACUGGUUUAUGUUGUGCACAAAUCCUUUGGAUGAAAUAAACACUUAGUGAUUUUGAUUUAUCUUUUGAGCAUAUUCCUAUUAAAUGUGAUAAUAGUAGUGCCAUAAGUAUAUCAAAAAAUCUCGUGCAACACUCUAGGACUAAGCAUAUAGAGAUUAGACAUAAUUUUCUUAGAUAUCAUACACAAAAGGAUGAUAUAACACUUGAAUUUGUAAGCAUAAAAGACCAACUUGCCGAUAUCUUUACAAAACCUCUAAGAACAUUUUGUUGAUAUUAGAGGACAAUUAGGAGUGAUUUCUUUAUGAUCUAAUGUGAUGAAUUCUUGAUGAAUAUACUUUUUGAUUGCAUGAAUUUCAUGUCAUAUAUGCAUCAUAUAGAAAUAUACUUAGAUAAUGGUCAAAUUUCGACCAAAAAUCAAAAUUCCCAUGGCAUUAGGCAUAAAAAUUUUGGAAUUUCAACUGAAAAUGGUAGGAGGAGGAUCACAAAAUGAGAAAGUAUGCAAAAAUUGAAAAAUCAAAACGUUGACCAAGCGGUCAAUCGGACUAGACCGAUCGACUAGUUUGUCGAGAUUUAGGAUUUUUAAGAGACUCCAACGCUUCAAUUUUUGCACCGUUCUCCUCUAUUUCUUCACGGUUUCUCUGAUUUUGUCUUUUAGAGACUAAUUUGAGUGCGUUUUGGAUCAAUUGAAGCAUUUUGGAUUGGAUUUUAGGAAGAUUGAAAGUUAAGGUUUCGGAUUUGGGUCGCCUUCUCUUCCUCUCGCGUGUCACAAUCAGCUUUAGCAUUGUUCUCUUUCCAUUUUCACACACCUAGGGUUUCAGUUGUGAGCAUCUCUCUCUCUUUACCAACCACUACUCCCUUGCUUCUUCCAUAUGGCUCCUAGGCGAGAGUCCGCUACUUCUAGGGCACAAGGCAAGCACCCAACUGAGUCGUCUCAGUCAAAGGCACGUCGAAAAGUGAGAUUUGACAUUGCCUUGUUCAGUUCCAUGGAGGACUACCAACUAUACAAGCAACACUUUGCUUAGAGACGAGUAGUUCCCAAGAGAAAUAUUAAUUUUCCUCAACUUCAGCAUUUCGAAUUUAAGGGUCUAUUUACUAGGAUGGUUGGUUGUCUAUUGUCACAAUUUCGGAGCCGGUUUUCCUGACCUUAGUGCGAGUUUUUUACUCGAGGGCGACUUAUGGCAUGGGUGGCAUGAUCAUUUCUACUGUUGGAGGAGUUGAGAUCUGUCUGGACCCAGAGAGCAUCUGCCAUAUUUUCGAUAUUGCUCUGGUUGGACUCAAAGUAUACAAGUCCAAAAUGUGGCCCAUUGUGCCAGGAUUUGAGCUUAGAGAGGUCAUUCAGAGGAUUUGUGAACUUCCAGACGCCCAGGAGAUGGGCAAACCAUUGCCACACAGUUUGACGGUCAUCAACAGGGUGCUACACCAUAUAUUGUGCUCUAUCUUUCUACCACGAAGUGGACAUUGAGAUGAGGUCUCUUAUUAUGAGGCAUUCCUUAUUGACUCCAUUCUAACGGAGAGACGAAUUCAUCUACUAUGUCAUCAUUCACUAAGCCUCCUCACAGUGACAUACCACCUCAUCAGGCACCUCUUGCUCCUGACCAUGCUCCAUUGAUGGAUUUAUUUACUCAUAUUAGCUCUCUAGGCACUCGCAUGAAGGAGUUUGUUGUAGUUAGUGAUACAUGGUUCUACUCCAUAGAGGAUCGCAUGGAUCAGUAUCAGACUGGCUUCACGUCACAGUUUGAGUAUCUCCAAUAGAGGAUUGAGCAUAUUGAGGAUCACUUGAGCAUGAGAAGAUGAUGGCUUUUCUAUGCUCUGUGUUUCCACCUCCACCUCGUCAACCUUGAUUUCUUAGAGACCCAUUGUUUUCAUUUUGUAAUGUUGCCAAAAGGGGGAGAUAUUUAGGAUCUAGGACUCUAUAGGAGACUUACAUGCAUAUCAUUUUCAUAUCAUUGUUUGGAUCGUACAUAUUGGAUAGUGAUACUUUUUACUUAUAUAUGAUAUGCCUAUAUGUUUCAUGUCUUACAUUGUUUCUUAUUGCAAAUUAUCUCUAACAUGUCUUGAUUAUCUUUUUUUUAACUUCAUAAAUUUUGAUUGUUAACCCAUGAUUGGUUUGAGGGGAAGAUUCUUCUUCUCCUAGAUAACCAAGGUUUGUCAUCAUAAAAAAAUUGGAGAUUGUUAGCCCAAGGGUUCUCCUAAUCAUGUUUUGAUGAUAACAAACCAUGCUUAAGUUACUAAUUGGUUUGAAUUAUAAAGAAUUUCAAGUGUUAAUUUGAAAAUUCAUCAAAGAACCUAAUGGAUGCAAGAUCAAGAUUUUUGGAAGACCUUUAAUCAUAAGAAACAUAUGUAAGAUGAAUGCAUGGGUGCACUUAAGAUUUGCAUAUCAUUUCAUGCAUAUUUGGAAAACACGGUUUAUGCUUUAAAGUUACAUUUCCAUCAAAAUUUGAGAUCCAUCAAAUGAACCUUAGGAAAAAUGUUUUAAAAUUGGCAUAUAAUUUUACCUAAAGACCUUGCCUAAGUGUUAGAAGCAAAAGGACAAAAAAAAUAUAGGUUUUCUGGUCAAAAAUGGUGAACCAGUCAAGGCAUUGUCUAAAUCAGCUCAAUCGGCCAAGGUACCGGUCGAUCGGUUUCCCUUUCCCUGUCGAGAUCUAGUCAAGAGGUACAAAAAUCACAAUCUCUGUCUCUUUCUCUCUUUGUCUAUCUUCCAGUAGUCUUUCCUUCCCGGUCGAGGGAUUUGCCUUCCCGAUUGAGGUCCGAUUGAGAGUAAUAGUCACUUGCCAAAUAUUAAAUGCUCCAACAGUUAGUGAACUGGUCGACCCCCACCUUGCCCAGUUGAGGUUACUUUUUGGUUUUCUUGGCUCCCGAUGUUAGAAACCUAUAAAUAGAGAGUUCCACUUCAUUUAUGAGCAAGAGAACACUUGCAUUUAUUUGUUUACCUACUUGUUCUUGCCUUAAAAGCUCUCAUUUCUUUUCUUGGUGCAUUAAAUCUCCAUUUUGAUAUCCUUUAGUGCACCUUUGUGAUUCAUCUUAGCCUUGAGUUGUAUUUGAGCCCUUUUUUUAGCUAGGUUGAGAGUUUCAUACUUGUUAAUUGAGUGUUAAAGCCUUCAAGUGAGUUGAAACUUGUAGAGAUUAUGUGAGAGUCGAUUGGAGCCGAAAUCCAAGUGUAAAGGUGAUUAGAAGCUUGGUUGAAGCUUCAAGUUAGUGGAAUCCUCACUCAAUUAGGAGCUUGAGGAGAGUGGACGUAGCCAAGGAAGUGUCGAACCACUAUAAAAUUUGAGUUUGAUUUCUCUAACAUUGUCUCUUUAUAUUUGUUUAUCUUGUGCUUAAAUUUAUUGUGUUUAAAAAGAAUUUUUAAAUACCCAAUUCACCCCCCUCUUGGGUGUUUUUCUCUUUUAAAAUUAGCCUUUAUUUUCUCACAAACUAUUGUAGUAUAGUGGUUUUUAGGUGUCAUCCAUUAGGAUGAAUUGUUCUCGGUAAUUAAGGCGUGAAUGAGAGGAGAAUUAAUGAUUGUGAUUAAGUAAAAUUGAUUUGAAAAUUCAUGGUGAAAAAUCAAUUUAACAAUGGUUUCUAAUUGAGAAAAACAAUGAAAUGUGAAAUAAAAUAAAAUUAAUAGGAAAUGAAAUUCUCGAAGUUAGAAUUUUCUAAAAAACAAAUUCCAUGGUGAAUGGAUGUUGAGAUCUAAUUUUCAUCAAGUUAGAUUGAAAACCGAAAUUUUCAUAUAAACUGAUUUUUUAUUUAGUUUUAGGUCUAGAUUUAAUUUCCCUUAAAAUUAGGUUAUUUAAUCCAAGAAAUCAAUUCAAAUCAUAUAUUCAAUUCAUCUUAAAUUAUCUUCCAAUUAUUCACACAAUGCAACUAUUCAAUCUCAUCAAAUCUAGCUUUUAAGAAUUUAAUGAAUCUACCUAGUUUGCAUUGUAAUAGUCAUCCAUGACAAUUUGAAGAGAAAAAUAAUUCAAUUAAUCAAUCACUUGGAUCAAAUUACCUUUGCAAUUAAAGUUCAUUUCUCUAAUUCACCACAGAUUUUGUCUCUAGAUCCUCCUUUCUCAAAGAAAAAUGAGAUUUAGCCACACAUGAUUGGAGAUUUGGUCUCAUAAGGCAUGUUUAGCUAGUGAUAAAAUGAGAGAAAAUAAAGAAAAAUAGAGAAUUCGAUUAAGAAAGAAAAUCUAAAAAAUUCUACAAUUAGAAAUGUCCAAAAAGCUUUUUCAUGAGAAAAUCAAGUUUCUAUUUAUAGGCCAAGGUCAAGUGGACACUUGACAUCAUCUAAGAGGUCUUCCGGAAGCUUCUUCAUCAAGAAAUCUGGAGUUUAAUAAUAAAAUGGUCAUUUCACAAGAGCUCAAACAAUUUCGCAUGAUUAUGUGAAAUAAAAAAUGCAACAACAGCAAUUUACAUCUUCUUGGAGCAUUUCGCAUGACUGUGUGAAAUUUUCACAUGAUCAUGUGGAAUCGACUUGACAACUCUCAUUUAGCCUACAACAUAAUUCCACCUUUUGGUCCAUUUUUCAUAGUCAUGCGAAAUGGAAAUAUUUGAUUUUUAAGUUUUCUUUUGUCAUUUCUUUCAUUUCCUUCUCUUGAUUCCACUUCAACUACCUCCGAAUCCUGGUCCAAACCAAUUGCAUUACUUCUUUCAUUAUGCAUUUGGAUCAUCAUCAACAUUAUUUGUUCUCUUCAAUUUGAUUCAUCUCUUUUGUCACCAAUUUAUCAAAAUCAUACCUUGAAAUGACUCCAAAACUUCAUAAAACUUGUUAGUAACUCUUGCAAGGGCAACAACAUAUUAAUUAAGUGUUUUAGGCAUAGUUACUACUCAAAAGAUGCGAAACUCAUGAUAAUUAUUAUAUAAAAUAUGCUCUUUUUGAGUAGUAAUCAACUUUCUUGCAUAAGCAGACCUUUUAGGGUGGAGUACUAAAGACCAAUAUGCUUGUCCUUGUUGUAAUAAAGAAACUUGCUCUUAUUGAUUGCACCAUGGGAGAAAAUUUUGCUACAUGAGUUAUCAUCAAUUUCUUCCCACCAAUCAUAGAUUUAGACGUGACAAGAGGCCUCUUAAUGGCAAGGAGGAACUGACACUCACACUUAUACAAUUAUCGGGCAUUGAUGUGUUGCAACAAUUAGAAUAACUUACACCAAUUAUGUUGGGGAAGUCACAAAAGGCAAACAUGAAAACUAAAAGGAAAAAAGAAAAAUGUUACAUAUCACCACAACUGGAAAGAAAAAAGUAUUUACUUUCAUUUGCCAUAUUGGAAAGCACUUAUUUUACAUCAUAAUAAUUUAGACAUAAUGCAUAUUGAGAAAAAUGUGUGACAAUAUAAUUGAGACAUUGUUCAGUAUUGACGAAGAAACAAGGACAACCUAAAUAGUCAUCUCGAUUUACAAGCUCUAACUAUUAGAAAUGAGAUUCACCCAAUAGAAAGCAGGACCAAAUUUAUUUUGCUUGCAACAUGCUACUCACUCACCCCAAAUGAGAUUAAGGAAUUUUGCAAGUUUUUGAAAUCAAUAAAGGUCCCCAAUGGCUAUUCUUUCAAUAUCUCUCGUUAUGUGCAACUCAAUGAAAGGAAGAUAUAUGAGCUCAAAUUGUAUGAUUGUCAUGUCCUAAUGCAACAACUUCUCUCACUUGUAGUUCGUGGAGUUCUACAUAAGAAUGUUUGUGGAGUUAUCAUAGAAUUGCGUAAUUUUUUCAAGCAAUUGUGCUCAAAGGUGUUAGAAACAAAUCACUUACACCAACUUGAGAACAAUAUUAUUGUCAUACUAUGUAAAAUGGAGCAAAUAUUUCUUCCAUCAUUCUUUGAUAUUAUGGUGCAUUUACUUGUGCAUCUAGUAAGGCAAAGGUUGCAAGACUUGUGCAAUAUUGUUGGAUGUACCUAAUUGAACGAUAUUGUUAUAAUUUCAUAUGAAUCAUUUAAUUUUAUUUUAUAUUAUGUUCAGUUCAUUAACAUGUACAUUGGUCUACAUAUGGAUGAUGAUAGGUACCUAAGCACUUUAAAGUCAUAUGUGCGUAAUAGAACUUUUCUAGAAGGUUCUAUUGUAGAAAGGUACCUUGCAAAAGAAUGUACAACAUUUUAUUCUAGGUACUUGAAUGAUGUGGAAAUAAAGUAUAAUCACAAUGAUAGAAACUUUGUUGGUUUCAACACUAGAGGAGAUGAAAGGGGUUAUCUUUAAACAUAUUGGACAUGCAUUGGGAAAGCCCAUAUUUCAUUAACUUAGUUCAAAAGAGUGGUCACAAGCACAUUUAUAUGUGUUGACAAAUUGCGAAGAUGUCAUACCAUUCAUUGAGUAAAAAAUUUAUUUGAAUUUUAAUUAAAGCUCUAGUUUAUAUCCUUAAUCAAUGUUUUUUAAAUUCACAAGGAGCACAAGCAAACCAUCAAGGCUAGACCACAUAUACGUGUUUGAGACGUAGAUUUAAUUCAUAACAAGGAAUUUAUCAAGUGGUUUGAAAGACAUGUAAGUAUAUUCCUUAUUAUAAGGGAUUUAUUUCACAUUAUGUUUAUAUUGAAUCCAAACCUAUUAUUGAAUUGUAGGUUGAACAAUUACAUAAUGAAGGUCAUAUAUCUGAACACCUUCUCACAUUAUCAUGUGUUCCAAAUUCAUUAGUUACAUGCUUCAAAUGAUAUAUUGUCAAUGGAUUUAGAUCCCACAUUAAAGAACGUGAUAAAAAAGUUUUUAAAAAAAGACUCAGAAUAAUGGAAUUGUUGUAGUUGCAAAAACGUCAAGCUUUACAAGUGCAUGUGAUAUGAGUCCAAUUAUUAGUGAUGCUCUCUACUAUGGUGUUCUAACUAAAGUUGUUGAGUUACAUUAUCUUGGUGAAAAUAAGGUUGUUUUAUUCGAGUUUGAUUGGUGGGAUGUUACAAAUAUUGGAAAAUUGAUAAAAGAUGAUGAGUACAAUUACACAUUUGUUAACUUUGCAUGAAUUCUAACCACGAACGAACGAUUUGUACUUGCAUCUCCAGCAAAGUAAGUGUUCUAUGUGAAGAAUGCGAAUGAAUCAGAUUGGCAUACUAUCAUGGAGAUGCAACCUCAAGACCUCUAUAAGAUGAACGGGAUAGGAUCCAAUGGUGAUUUUGAACCAUUUCAACAAAGUGAACUACAUGAUCACUAAUAUAUCUCAGAUUUAGUUGAUGAAGAUAUAAUCAAGUGGAACAAAAGUGAUGUUUUAGGACUAAUCAUCCUAAAAAAUAUUGUAGUUUCUUAAAAAAAAAAUGAAAAUGAAGAAGAUAAUUGAACCUUUGUCAUACUUUAAAAAGCAACUAUGCAUUGUUCAUUUUGUAUGUUUUGGUUUUCUUCAUUUAAUUUCCUGAUUUUUGUGAUUCAAUGUCAUAUUAUUGAUCUUGAAAUAUUUUUCUAAUUUUUCAUUCUACGAUGGUUUCAACAAGGAUGACAUCAAGUCAAAAAAGGAAAUGUGGUCCCACACACAAUAUUGCAUUACAGGGAUUAAGGUCAGGGAAGAAGGUAAAAGUUGCAUUUAAUGAGUACAAUCAAUUGGUUAAACAGAAAAAUGGAAAACACUUAUCGAGCUACAUAGGGACACUUGUAUCUAACCAACACAAUGUACCUCUCCAAGCUAGUGAUUGGAAAAAUGUUCCAAAUGAUGCAAAAGAGAAAGUAUGGCCUUUGUUUUGGUAUGUUGUAUUUCUCACUAUAUGAUGUCAUUUCACUGUUAUUCUAUUUUGUGACUAACGUUUGAAUCAUAUGUAAGAAAAAUUUGAAGUAGAUAAAGACUGAAAAGAUUACAUGUUGGGUAUAGCCUCAAAUAAAUAUAGAAGCUAUAAAAAUAUGAUGAAUGCAAAAUACUAUGACCCUUGGCAUAAGGAUGCAUGAGGAGAGGUUAAUACAUAAAUCACCAUUUGUCUCUGAUGUUGAUUGGAAGUGGCUUGUCUCUGAUGCAUAAACCAAAUCCCCCACUGAAUGUUUGAUAUUUGAUAGCAGGAAAAACACACCCGCAGCUAUACACCUCCAUCAUUCAGAUAAUUAUAGUGGGGGAGAUGAUUCAUGGUUGCCCUUAUACCCUUUAUUUGCACCAUCUAUUGAGAUUCUUUAUCAUGGCCAGGUUUUACUGCAGCAAUAAGAUAUGGUGGCAACAAUUUUAUCUAUAGGUGCGGUUCCAGACCGCCUCCAUAGGUGCGGUUCCUGACUGCCUCCAUAGGUGCCUCUUCUUGUAAUGUUUGUUCUGGGAAUUACACUUGAAAGCCUUAUCGUGAUAAGGGAUUACAAACACUAGUUCAGAGGACAGCCAUGUUAAACUUCCACUAUGUUUGUGUCACAUUAUCAGCAGCCUAGUGUUUAUUGGUCAUGCUAUCUGCAACUAAUAUAACCCGGUGAACUUCAAUCUAAAUUCUGAAAGUACUCAUGUGACAGAUGGUGCCUUUCAGCAGAUAUCAUCAAUUUAAAAGUAGUGUGUGUGCCUAUAGGUGGGAAGGCCUUGGCAAAUGUUCAGUAUUCCGGUAAUUCAAGAAGGAUAUAUCUAAAAUAGAUUUUCUUCUUGCCCAUUUCAAUAGUUAAAAUUUGAGAAGAUUGUGUCCACAUCACACAAAUAUUAUUGGUCCUUCUGUUGCAAUUUACCUCUGAACAUGUCUUCCAAUUCCCACGGUCCUGUUACUCCAGGAAAACUAUUUCGGUCAUAUUGAAAAAAAAAAUAUUAAAGAAGGUACACAUGCUUUUAAGUGGACUGGGGCAUUCAUAUCAGGUGGUCUGUAUCCACAUAUGCCACUUCGUGAAAGGUGGAACAGCCUAAUCACUAGGCUAUUUAGUGUGGCCCAGCCACGUUAAUCAAGCACAAGUCUUCAUACUUAAAGUCAAAUGGUGUCUUUAGUCUCAUUACACAUCGCUAUUUGAAGAUUAACUCAUCACUAGUGUAAUGCGAUUAAGACAGUCCUAACUCAAUAUUUGUUCUAGUUUUGGAUGCAAAUGCUUGCUGGUUUCAUCAUUGGAUGGGAUAAAGGUGCAAUCAGGACUAUGAAUACGUGCAGUAAUACUUCAUUCUCUUUUUUCUCAAUGAGACUUCUUGGCACAAUUUUGCUGCUCAGCAACCUACCUUUCCAUGGAAAAUCAGUUGUGACUGAUAGUAAUGGAUAUAUUCUAGAAAGCUAAACAUAGAUAGCAUUCAAUAUUAUCGAUAUAACAUUAACAGCGUAUGUCUCAAUGCUCAUCAGCUACAAGCAAUGGACAAACACUUUGAGUAACUCACAGCAGUCAAAAUUCCUAAACAGGACAGACGUGACAGAUCUAUAUAUAGAACACUGCAUAUGAGUCACAGGAAAAGAUAAUACGGGUACAUAGAAGCUCUUAUUUUACAUAUUACUCAUACUGAUCAAAGUCGCUCAGUUGGGAUGGAUGGGAGAAGGAGGUUUGAGGGGUGGCUUGUGCGGGGAAGUUGGCAGCUUCUUUCCGGGAGCUGGUUGCUUCUUUGCUGGAGUUGAAGGAGGCUUAAUCUUCCGAGGUGGCUUGUAUGAGUCUUCAGCAUUCUCAGCAGGAGGGUGACCAGGGUUGUGACCAUAAUGUGGUGGCUUCUCUCCCUUAGGUGGUUUGCCAACUGGGGUUGGUGGCUUGUUUUCUGGGAGUGGCUUCUCUCCCUUGGGUGGUUUGCCAACUGGGGUUGGUGGCUUGUGUUCUGGGAGUGGCUUCUCCCCCUUGGGAGGUUUUUCGAAUGGGGUGGGUUUGUGUCCUGGUGGUGGCUUCUCUCCCUUGGGAGGUUUACCAAUUGGGGUCGGUGGCUUGUGUUCUGGGAGGGGCUUCUCUCCCUGGGGAGGUUUAGUGGGUGGCUUGUGUUCUGGAGGUGGCUUCUCCACCGGAGGCUUAUGCUCUGGUGGUGGCUUCUCGAAGGGGGGAUGCUCAGGGUAAUCACCAAGUGAGGGGGUGGUGAGAACCACCAUGCCAAGCAACAACACUAGCAAGUAUGUAGUAGACAUCUUUGGGUUUGGACUCAGACAGUGCAAAACUACGAGAAAUCGCUAGCCCUUUAUAGCGGCUCGGACCUAAUACUGACAUAAUAUAAAAUAAAUAUUAUAUUUUAUCAAGAGAGAACAGAGUGUAAUUUUAUCAUUAAUACCGAUCGAGGCCAAAGAAAGAAGACCCAUAAUCCAUUUCCCACAAGCAUACACAAUGCAGCUGUAAUUUUAUCAUUUACUUUUAUCCCUUGGACCACUGCAUUUUUGUUGAGAGACACAAUAACACAUUUUUAUCUGUCAUUCAACAUUUACAGUAAAGAGAGGGCACAAAACGCAAUUAGAUAAAUUAUGUUUUGCCUGCUAAAAAGAGGCAAAUAACUUUAUUUGCAACAUAAUUAUUUUGGUUUCUAGUGACCCCGGGGCCUUUCGGUUGGUUUGGGAUCGGAAAAUGAACAUCAUAGGGGGGGUUGUGCCCUUAUGGGCAUAUAUAUCUGAUAGCUUCAACUGGCCUUGUUCCUAGAAAGAAAUUGCCAAAGAUAUAAACUUAUUCCAGGCUGAAAGUAGAUGAGAGUCAUAAUGAACAUCAACCUUUGUUCAGUUUGAUUCAAUGCCCCCAUAGUGUUCAUUUCACAGAUCUGAAUGAUUAUAUCCGUUGAAUACAUAAAUUAAUGAAGACAAAUAUGAAACCCAAGAUACAUCUCUGCAUAACAACCCCAACCCUGGUUGCUAUGUUUCCCUUCUUCUAUUCACAUGAGGAUACUGGUUAUAAUUGUCAAACUUGCAACAAGCCCUUUGACACCUAACGUCAAUGGACGAAUUAAAAGUCUCCUUCAAACGUCUAUUUCACAGCAUGAAGCUUAUAAAGGAUGCUGACAACCUUCAGAGUUAGCGACAAAAGAUAAUUAUCAAGGAGAGAUAGUUCCAUGAGAAUUCCAAGGAGUCUGAAUCAAAGACAAAUUGCUCACUCAAGGGUUCUUAUUUUCUUUUAGGUACAAAUCUCUUGAGUGUUGUUAAAGAAACACGUCACUGUCAUUUUGAUUUGCAUUUAACAUUUCACUUUUGUUCUGGAAGGUUUGUUCCGGAAACAUAUCAAAUGAGCAUCAUUUUCUUCUUCGGUGACACAUGGUCGCGAGUACGUGGGUCCAUUUUCAUGCCACUUAGUUGAAAAGUUGGAAAGAAAAAACAUGCCAACAAGAAGAUAGUGAGAGAAGGGGCACUUCAAGCCUUUAACAUGAACAAACAGUAAAUAAAAGAUGUUUCUCCACUCAUAAAAGUGUGUUAGAUAGCAAUAUAACGAAUCACAUCCAAAAUCUUUACUAGGCUCAAACAUAAAGAAGACUCAUUUUUAAGAAAAGAUAAAAAUGGCAUUGUCUGAUAGUAUCCAAUACACGAGAUGGCACUUAAUUUGUACAAGAUCUGUCAAUGCUGACGCACAUUUUCUGAUUAAAAAAAAACUGAUCAGUCAAAAGCAAUGAAGAGAAGUGAUGACAAUGAAUGAUGCUUCCAAUAUUUUCACCCCUUAUAGUGUUCUUCAUGAUUCAGAUAUAUAAUUGGAAAUAGAACAACCCUAUGCCAUACAUUCGUCUAAGUAUGGUGUCUAAUUUUUUGUGUCAGCGGUUGCGAAUGGAGCGUGCAAAAGUCCAAAUUGGCGUCUCUCCAUUUCCACAUAGGAAGGUGACCUUUAUUGACAAAUACCCAAUAUUUGUAGACAUUCCUUAAAUAUCAUAACUUCUUGUUGAUUUGAAAAUCAUUUUUCAACUACCAUGUUUUAAUAAAUAUUUUUUAAAAUGUAUUUUUAUCAAAGUCCACCAUGAUGGAUAAUAUUCACCAUGCAAUAAUUAAUAAAGUACAAACUAAGCGAAAUGAAAAGCAUUUUCUUUGCUUUGAGUUGAUUUUGGUUGCAUUGAGUUGAUUUUGGUUUCAUGGUUUUUUCAACUCUUAUUUUGAUUGGAAGAUGUCAAGAAAAGAAAACAUAAAGAAAAAUUAAAAGGGAAAAAAGAAGAAAAAUAAAAAAAAAUAGAUUUAAAAGUUAAUAAAUUAUUUUUUAUAUUUAUUUUAAUUCAUUUCACUUAUUUUUCUUUUACUAUAUAAAAUUUAAAUAAUUUAAAUUUUAUAAUUAAUUUAAUUACAUUUCAUUUUCUUCUAUAUUUAAAUAUUGGAAAAAUAUUUUACUUAAUAUUUUUUUCUUUAAUUUCUUUGGCAUUUUGGGAACCAAACUUAGCCUUUAAAAUAAAAAACAAAAAAAAAAUGAAAAUAAGGAGGGAAAAGUGAGAAAAGAUAAAAACAAUAUGUAAAGGAUUUGAAAAGUAUUAGUUUGUAAUUACUAUUUGGAUUUCAAUAGUAUUUUAUUUGUCUUUCUAUAUUUCAUGUAAGAGAGAAUUUAAGAUAUUCCCCAAGGCAAAGCAUUAGUUACCUGCAAUCAGUGGUGAUAAGGCUCCAAGCCAAUUUUGGGCCCCAUAUCUUAAGACAGUACAAUUUCCAUUUCAACAUUUCUGAUUUCUCAGAUGUUUCACAUACCACAGAAGAACAUUGUUUGUGAAAAUAUGCAUUUAUGUUGGAUUUUGUAUGCUGUGGGGACUGGGGCAAGGAUCAUAUGGAAGAGUGGUUGACUUUUUCUGUACUUUAACGGUUGAAAUAGGAUAAGCACGGGCAUUUGUGAGGCUUAAUUGAUUUUGAAGCCUGAAAUUGCGUUUCUGUCAUUUUGUCAAAAAAAUGGCAGAUUCCAUACUCAUAUGUUUGGCCUGUGGCCAUGUACAGAUGCCAUUUAGUGACCAGUUUGUAACUGUCAAUCGUUGCGUUUUGACUCUGCCUCAACAACAUCUGCCAUUGACGGGUUUUCAUACUUGCAAAUCAAAUAGUCUUUCGUCCCAUCAGGAAUUUCGGUUUAAAUAUUAUUAAGCAUACGUUUGGCUGACAAUCAUUAUCCAGUUCAUGAUUUGGUUUCUUACCCUUAAUCAAUGGUUUCUAAGUGAAUAUAUGUAGAAGGAAAUCCGAAGUGUAGACAGUAGUAUCGAUAACUCUCAAUAUUCUCUAUAUAAUAGAAUAAACAGCGUCAUAGUGAUCGUCGCCUACAAGCAAGGUACAAAUACCAAAACGAGUGACUCACAUAGACAUCUCCCAACAAGAUGUAGUAGUGACUGACACAUGGACACAAUUAACUCGUAGAAAAGGAUAAGACCAUUGCACAGCAGCUCUUAUUUUACAUACUACUUAUGCUAACCAAAGUCAAUUAGUUGGGAUGGGUGGGAGAUGGAGGUUUGUGCGGUGGCUUGUGGGGCGGAGUUGAUGGCUUCUUUCCAGGAGCUUCUGGCUUUUUCAUCGGAGCUGAAGGAGGCUCAAUCUUAUGAGGCGGCUUGUAUGAGUCUUCUUUACUCUCGACAGGAGGGUGGCCAGGGUUGUGAUCAUAAUGUGGUGGCUUCUCUCCCUUAGGUGGCUUGCCAACUGGGGUUGGUGGCUUGUGUUCAGGAAGUGGUUUCUCUCCCAUGGGAGGUUUAGCAAUUGGGGUUGGUGGCUUGUGUUCUGGGAGUGGCUUCUCUCCCUUGGGAGGUUUAGUAGGUGACUUGUGUUCUGGAGGUGGCUUCUCCACCGGAGGCUUGUGCUCCGGUGGUGGCUUCUUGGUUGGAGGGGGCUUGGGGUAAUCAGCAAGAGAUGGGGUGGUGAGAACCACCAGUCCAAGGAACAACACUAGCAAGUAUGUGGGAGACAUUUUUGAGUUUGGGCUGAUCAGAUGAUGCAAAACUAAAGCAUUACGUGACCUUUUAUAGCAUGUAGCUCCCAAUACCCACUAAGUAUUGUGGGGUCCAUUUGUGCCCUACGGGGUUGAAAACUUAGACAAUUGGGCAAGGACCCACCUGACUAUGGAGGACUAGUGAGGUGUGAUCAUAGCUUUAGGAUUUUUCUUCCUCUGCAGCCGUCGUGCCGUUGGCAUGAUUUUCUUAAUCUUAAAUAAAGGCAUAGUUAUAGAGUUGUUUAAUCUCUAAAUGGGAUUUUAUAUAUAUCUUCAGAUAGCCAUUAAUAUAUUUGAUGAAGAAAGAAAGACAAGUGCAUACAACAUGUAUACGACUAGCUUUCAUGGAGUUCAUUUAUGAUCAGUUUUCCUGUACAUGUAAACCAGGAUCAUAUAUAUGUUUCUGUUCCACAACUAUUUUGGAAUCUUGUUUAUCAGUUUUUAUCAUUAUAAUGUCACAUAGGCUGCCAACUUGGGCGCUAAAAGAACCAGUUGGGCUAGUUCGUUUCAGAAUUUCAAUGUGGAUUCAGGAAUUGUUUUGUAAGAUAUGCGAAAUAGUAGAGGGAUGAAUAGUGUUUCAUUAAUAAAAGUGUCCUGUAAAUUAGAAGGUGUCAUAGAAACUAUAAUCAAUAAAUAACUUUUUUUCCCCACGGGUGGUGUUUCUUGUGGGGAUCAGUGACUGGUUUAGGUUCACCCAAAAUGAGUUCAGACUAAAAUUGGUUUGAGUCAAUGCCGUGUCUCUUUUUUCCAGAAAUCAACUAUUUUAUGCAUUGAAUAAAUCAUACAAAGAAAAUAUGAACGCCCGCAAAACCUAAACCCUGGUUGCUAACUUUCUAUGUUUCAGUUCUAUUCACGCAAGAAUAUUAGUUUAAGUUUGGGAAAAAUGGCAACUUACCUAGUGAUUACUUGGUUUUGGUUUGCGACUAUUUACGCAACCAACCAUGAGUUUGACUUUAACGUCAUGGGUUGAAGCCUCCUACAGGAAGGGAGAAAGCUCCACAGCUAGCUCCAAAAGAGAAUUAUCACAUUGAUAGCUCCAGAGAUUCCCAAGGGGACUGAAUCAAAGACAAGUUCCUCACUUUUUCUUCUUUUGAGGCCAAAUAUGAACCAAGGAUCACACAACCUCAUUCAACUUCAUAAGUUUGAUUUCAUGCAGUUGAACACUGGGUGAAGGCCAUGACAAGAAUUGAUUCAAAAAUUCUAUCACUCUUUUAAGUAAUGGAAGAUUAUUAUCUCUGAUUGGCAUCACAACAGCACAUGCUCCUAGAUCUUUCUAGACACUCCAUGCAAUGAAAGCACAAUGGAUCUUGUAACGAUAGAAACUAAGCCAUGCUACAGUACUAGAUGAUGAGGUAAAACUAGUAGACACGGGUGGCAGCCUAUAUGGGAGGGACACAAGUCUAAUUGAUUUGCAUUUCAGCAUUAUAGAUAGGUAUGUUUUGGAAGAUUUGUUCUGGAAAUACCGCACCAAGUAGGAUUCUUUUUCUCUUUAGUGGGUCCACUUGCAUGCCAAUUAACGAGUUGAAAAGUAUGAGCACCUACCUCGUGCUCGUGGAACCGAAGGUCAGUGAAGUGGGGCUCCUUUUGGCCUCGUGUAAACUUGAUUCAGAAGUGAAGUUAAUAGUCUUCCAUUCAGAUGGAUACAUGGGAAUUUUUCUCUUUUAUUUAUUUAUUUAUUUUUUUUUUGUGUGUGUAUGUCAAAGGAUAAUGAAUGAAGCGCGUUAGCUUGUUUUCUGACUGGAACCGCAGAUGUCCAAAUUGGAGUUCCUUCAUUUCUUACUUAGGAUUGUUACAUGUAUAAACAAGGUAUAAGAAAUAUGCCAACGUGUCUUGAGGAGUUAUUGAUUAGAAAUAACAAGUCACCCGACUGUAGAGUUCCAAGAUUUGAAUCUUCAGACCCUAUAGCAGCCUCUGGGGUACGUGGCAUCCUAUAGCAUAUUAAUGAAGGCUUUUUCGAUUUAGACUUCACAAUACCAAUUAAUAUGUAUGCACAAAAUGGAGAUGACCCCAAAAAAAACAGAAUCGCCAUAGUUUAUGAGGUUAAGGUGAUUCUCCACUUAAUAUCUACAUUAGCUAAUUAUGUAAAUCAAAUGAACUUCUAUUUUUCCUUUUUUUUUUUGGUUUAUGUCAAAUAGUAGCCCAUAAUUAACCCAACCAUUAGCCUGUUUGAAUUGAUUUCACAUGCACAAUGUUGUAGUAGUUCAUAUUUUGAAUUUUAUUUUUACAAAGGUAGUUAAGGAAAAUGAAGUAUAAUAAUUAUAAAAGCAGACUAUAUACACUACAAUAAUUGUUAGAAUGGUAUCUCAAAUUCUAAUUUAAAAUAUUAUUUUUUGUAAAAGAAAUAUUAUAUAGAAUAUUUCCUAAUUUUAUAAAUGAUUAUAAUUAGAUCUUUAUAAAAUAAGGAAAGUUGGUAAGAAUAUCUUUAUAAAUAUUUUAGGUCAUGAGAGAAAGAAAUGGGAUAAAAAUGUGAUGAAGAGGUGAAAUAAGAGAGUUGAUUAGGAUAUAGAUGUGAAGAAGAAAGGGAUUCAAUAUAUAUAUAUCUUUCAAUUACCACAUUAAAACCCUGUGAACCUUUUAUAUGGUUUACUUUAUUUUUAUAUUCCUCCUUUAAUAUAUUUACAUUAAUGCUUCCAUUGGCACAACAAUAACGAAUUACAAAUACAAGCAACAAGUCCCAUGUUUUAUUACCAAAAGCAGGUAAAAUCCACCUAAUAUAUUACAAUAUAUUCAUCCAAUAUUUUAGACCAAUUCUUCACCAUAAAUAUCAUAAUGUGGCUUUUGUUCUUUCUUAAAUUUAAAUUGAAUUGUCUUAUAUCAAUUUGUUUGUGAUUUUUUCAUUAACUUCACUUUCAUUUGGUUAUCUUUGGUUUUUGAAAAGUAUUAAGGAAUUAAUUAACAAAAUAAUGUUAAGAAAAAUAAUUUUCUCUCUUUUGAUUUUGAUUUUGUAGUAGAAAAAUAUAAUUAAAAUUAUUUAAAAAGUAUGUAAUUUUAAAUUAUUUAAUAUUUAGAUAAAAAAAAUAAGUCUAAUGAGUUUAAAAUAACAUAUAAAAAUAAUUUAUUUAUUUUAAAUUUAUUUUUUAUUUUCCAUUAUGUUCUCUUUCUCUUUUACUUUUUCAUAUUUUUUCUUACGAAGAAUCAAACACAACCUCAUAUUAUAUGUCAAGUGUUUGUCUAUAUUUGAGCAAUGUUAGAUACGGCCAUGGAUUCAUCAAACUAAACUGAUUUUAAUAGAUACUUCACAAAUUGAUUUAUACACUAAAUCAUUGGAUAGCAAUGAUGCAUUGGAAUUAAACGUAGGAUGAAGCUCGAAGAACACUGUUUGUGUAACAACAUAUUUAUGAAAUUAUGCAAAGGAUGAGCUUCGGGGUAGUAGUACAAGGUCAUUAAUGGAGAGCCGUGUUAAACCUUGAUUGUGAUUGGAUUCCGUUAUCAGCAACAGCAACCUUGUUUGUAACCUUGAAAGUCAUUCUGUCCACAUCGAAACUCCAAUUUGACGUUUGUAAUUACCAUUCCUGGAGUGUUCCUUGAUUGAAAUUUAAAUAAUAAUUGCGGCCCACAAGGAAUAUUUUCGAUUCUGUGGGAAUUUGACAAGGUUUGUUAGAGAAGACUGGUGACAUGUUGACUUCAAUGGUUCAAAUAGGAGACGUAUGUGGAUUUGGGGGGUUUAAUUGAAACUGAGUCCCUAUGGCUUUUUAAUAUUUGCAUUGAGCAGUCUCCAUGUGACUUCCUAAUUCCCACCAACCCUCCUGUCCAUGCUGUGAAACUAAAUUGUAAUUUAUCAGCCUUUGUCAAUGGUUUCUAAAUUAAAGAUAUAGACCAUGCAUGUACUUUAAUAAAAGCAAAUCUAAAGUGUAGAUAGCAGCAAUGGUGACACCCAAUAUUCUCCAUAAAAUAGAAUUAGAAUAAGCAGUGUUACAUUGUUCAUGAUCACCUACAAGCAUACAAGAACUUCCAUGAAUAACUCAUAGCAAUUGCCAACAGGGCGUCGUAGAGACUCAUACAUAGAACACUAUCCACCCAGAGGAAAGGACAAGACCAGUGCGCUGCAGCUCUUAUUUUUCACAUGUAUACCACCACUCGUAAUAACCAAAUUCACUCAGUUGGGAUAGGUGGGAGAUGGUGGUUUGUGGGGUGGCUUGUGGGGAGGAGUUGGAGGAGGCUUUAUUUUCUGAGGCGGCUUGUAUGAGUGUGCAGGAGGAUGCCCGGGAGUGUGACCAUAAUGUGGUGGCUUCUCUCCCGUAGGUGGUUUGCCAAAUGGGCUUGGUGGCUUCUCUCCCUUAGGAGGUUUACCAAUUGGGGUUGGUGGCUUGUGUUCUGGGAGUGGUUUCUCUCCCUUGGUAGGUUUGCCAAUUGGGGUUGGCGGCUUAUGUUCUGGGAGUGGCUUCUCUCCCUUGGGAGGUUUGCUAAUUGGGGUUGGCGGCUUAUGUUCUGGGGGCGGCUUCUCUCCCUUGGGAGGUUUGCCAAUUGGAGUUGGCGGCUUAUGUUCUGGGAGUGGCUUUUCUCCCUUGGGAGGCUUGCCAAUUGGGGUUGGCGGCUUAUGUUCUGGGGGUGGCUUCUCUCCUUUAGGAGGUUUGCCAAUUGGAGUCGGCGGCUUAUGUUCUGGAAGUGGCUUUUUUCCCUUGGGAGGUUUGCCAAUUGGGGUUGGCGGCUUAUGUUCUGGGGGUGGCUUCUCUCCCUUGGGAGGUUUGCCAAUUGGAGUCGGCGGCUUAUGUUCUGGGAGUGGCUUCUCUCCCUUGGGAGGUUUUGUUGGUGGCUUGUGUUCUGGAGAUGGCUUCUCCCCUGGAGGCUUGUGCUCCGGAGGUGGCUUCUGAAAUGGCGGGGGCUUGGGGUAAUGAGCAAGAGAUGGAGUACUG
rnacentral:lncRNA from 1 species